UGGAUACAGAAAUGUGGAAUGCACCAUAUGUCCUCAUCUGAAAGUCUCUGCAGGAUGGUCUGACUCACGCGAGUGGUUUUGAGAUAAGUUGUGUUAUACCUCAAGUUAGGUAAAGUCGAGAGAUGAACUAACUUAAAAAGUAGUGAUGUUUACAUAGAAUCUAAAUUGGAAAAGACAAUAAUAUCAGCAUUAGAAAGUUUGCCUUUAAGUAAAAAAAAUUAUUAGCCAUAAUAGGUUUUACAUUCUUCGUAAUAGAAUAUCCUAAAGCAAUAAAACCUCCACUAUGUGAACUCUAAGUUCUGAACAUCCGAAUUUUUCAAAUAGUUCUGAGUUAUAUUUAAU
rnacentral:lncRNA from 1 species